rnacentral:rRNA from 1 species
AUAAGAUUGAAACAGAUAGAGCUGACGUAUCCAGCCUGUAUUCAUCUGUGUUGUUGAGUGAGCUUGGUUGAUUAUUCCGGUUUCGGGUGGUCGGCCGAUGUUUUGCUUGAUGAUGCGGUGCUUUUACAGGUGAAGUGCGCCGGGAAGCAUGCUGCAGCGGUAUGAACUUUGCAUUGAGGUCUCCCUUCGGGGAGUUACCCGUGCGGAGGGAGGACUGUUUGUGGUGUGUUGGUUUGAGCUUGGCCUACGAGUUGGCUUGCUGCCGGGGGUGAAACGAGAUAUAUUCGCAUGCGGAUGUGCUCGAGUCUAACCUGGAGGCUCGUUAUACUCUCUAGCUUGACCUCGGUGUAACAGUCGGUCAUCUAUCUGACCCGUCUUGAAACACGGACCAAGGAAUUUACCGUAUAUGCGAGUCAUUGAGCGUUAAAAACUCAAAGGCGUAAUGAAAGUGAAGGCACAUUAAUGAGCUGAUAUGCGAUCCCCGGCACUUCGGUGCCGGGGCGCAGCAUAGCCCCAUUCUGAUUGCUUGCAAUGGGGUGGAGGUAGAGCAUAUUUGGUGAGACCCGAAAGAUGGUGAACUAUGCCUGAGCAGGAUGAAGCCAGAGGAAACUCUGGUGGAAGUCCGAAGCAGUUCUGACGUGCAAAUCGAUCG